rnacentral:rRNA from 1 species
CCUACGGGGGGCUGCAGUGGGGAAUAUUGCGCAAUGGGCGAAAGCCUGACGCAGCAACGCCGCGUGCGGGAUGACGGCCUUCGGGUUGUAAACCGCUUUCACCCAUGACGAAGGGUUUCUGACGGUAGUGGGAGAAGAAGCACCGGCUAACUACGUGCCAGCAGCCGCGGUGAUACGUAGGGUGCGAGCGUUGUCCGGAAUUAUUGGGCGUAAAGAGCUUGUAGGCGGUUUGUUGCGUCGGGAGUGAAAACUCAGGGCUUAACCCUGAGCCGGCUCUCGAUACGGGCAGACUUGAGGAAGGUAGGGGAGAACGGAAUUCCUGGUGGAGCGGUGGAAUGCGCAGAUAUCAGGAGGAACACCAGUGGCGAAGGCGGUUCUCUGGACCUUAUCUGACGCUGAGAAGCGAAAGCGUGGGGAGCAAACAGGCUUAGAUACCCGAGUAGUC